GAUGCCUGAGCACAAGUGGCCGAGUUCCGUGUGACUUUAGGAAAUGCUUCUCCCCCUUCCUGGGCAUGCAAACAAGACUCUGCACCUGCACCGCAGUUUGUCCGGAAGAGAAGCCUCUGCUUCGCCUGCAGGGACGAGGAACUAGAGCAAGAAACAGCAUUUGAAAAUUGCUCUGGACUCAAGGACCAAAAAUUCCUAUGAAGGAGAAUGAAGGCAGCCCCAUCUACUUGUUCAAUGACAAUCCAGUAGGAACUGCAGCAACGUGCAUGUCCCUGAAGAACUUGAAGAGGAAGAUAUGAGGACCACAAGUUACAGUGUAAAUUGGUGUCUUGAAAAUGAUGCUUGCGGAAUGAAGGAAGAGGAGACGGUGACAGUAUACUCGUGUUGAGCUGGGGGAGAAGGGUCAUCUGAAUCUGCACAUGAACAGGACAGAAGAGGAUGGCAAGUGUCACCUUUCAUGAAUUUUUGACUUAUUUUUGGAAACAGGAUGUCUCAUCAAACCUGAAACAUACCAUUUUGUCCAGGUUGGUUGGCUGGAUACUCCUAGGAUCCACCUAUCUCUGCUCCAACUUGGGGUUACAGGCAUAAAUGAUCAUGCUCAACUUUGACACAAGCACUGGGUAUUUAGUUCAGGUCUUCUUGCUUUGAGCAAACACAUUUUCCUCCCUGAGCCAUCUCCAUAGACUUGCUCAUUAAUUUUUAGAAAUUGAUAUGAACUGAAUUUAAUACAAGUAAAAGAAUAGAAACAUAGAUUCUAAGAUAAGGUAUCUUUGUUUUAUUUUACUUUAUUUCCUUUUUUAUUUUCAAUGGCCUUUCUAUUGGUAUCCUUUGGGGAAAAUAUCUAUCAGCUGAAAUGCUUUAAUUAAAAAAUACUGAGAUUGUAUGAACAUAUUUGGAGAAUGCUGGAAUCCACAGCAUCUUAAACAAUUAGUAAGGGGGCAUUUGGGUUGCUUUAAUUUGUCUGUGGAAUAAAAUUAUCAUUUUAAAUGAAUAUCAAUGUUUAUGUUAAUGUAACUGACUUUUGGAUAAACUGGUACUAUGCAUACAUGUGUUGGGGGAUGGUCAUAAAGAGAAGGAUCUACAAUUACUCAGUGGUACAAUUUGUUAAAUAAAGCAGGUAAUCAGCUUGGUUUACAUGGAUUUUUAUCUGCAAUAGGAAAUAUUGCUGAAAGUCAUUGCAAUGAAUAGAGCAGGAGUAGCUAAAGGCUUGCCCCAGGCACCAGCCUACAAGAAAGUCUGAAGAUUUGGAGACAAGAAAUGACAAUUAUCAGACUUUACUCAAUGAGACAGUAACAUAUUGCUAAACUACAGGGUGAAGUGAUACUCACUACAAAGAUGCAUUUUAGGAAGUAAUGAAGUAUGAUUGCUUGCGGUCCAAGGCAAAGGACAGAGGCAGAAGGCAGAAACCUCAUGUAUUCCAGAUCAGAUGGGUGACAUACGAGAUCCCACUAAGCCUUUAGUAGGCUGUAUAAGGAUAUAAAACAAACAAACAAACAUCAAAUGGAACCAGAGGACUCAUAUGUGGCUCAUUUGGAAAGGAAUCCAGGAUUUUCUUCAGCGUGGUCACUUUAGAACGUUCUUAUUGGAUACCACUUUAUCUUCAAGUAAAUAAAAAUUGCAACAAUCCUUGGAUAUGUUUUUCUUGGGCAAAAAAUUAUAUUACCUUUAUCCAUAUCUUCAU